rnacentral:rRNA from 2 species
CGUGGCGGCGUGCCUAUACUGCAAGUCGAACGAGUUCUCGUUGAUGAUCGGUGCUUGCACCGAGAUUCAACAUGGAACGAGUGGCGGACGGGUGAGUAACACGUGGGUAACCUGCCCUUAAGUGGGGGAUAACAUUUGGAAACAGAUGCUAAUACCGCAUAGAUCCAAGAACCGCAUGGUUCUUGGCUGAAAGAUGGCGUAAGCUAUCGCUUUUGGAUGGACCCGCGGCGUAUUAGCUAGUUGGUGAGGUAAUGGCUCACCAAGGCGAUGAUACGUAGCCGAACUGAGAGGUUGAUCGGCCACAUUGGGACUGAGACACGGCCCAAACUCCUACGGGAGGCAGCAGUAGGGAAUCUUCCACAAUGGACGCAAGUCUGAUGGAGCAACGCCGCGUGAGUGAAGAAGGCUUUCGGGUCGUAAAACUCUGUUGUUGGAGAAGAAUGGUCGGCAGAGUAACUGUUGUCGGCGUGACGGUAUCCAACCAGAAAGCCACGGCUAACUACGUGCCAGCAGCCGCGGUAAUACGUAGGUGGCAAGCGUUAUCCGGAUUUAUUGGGCGUAAAGCGAGCGCAGGCGGUUUUUUAAGUCUGAUGUGAAAGCCCUCGGCUUAACCGAGGAAGCGCAUCGGAAACUGGGAAACUUGAGUGCAGAAGAGGACAGUGGAACUCCAUGUGUAGCGGUGAAAUGCGUAGAUAUAUGGAAGAACACCAGUGGCGAAGGCGGCUGUCUGGUCUGUAACUGACGCUGAGGCUCGAAAGCAUGGGUAGCGAACAGGAUUAGAUACCCUGGUAGUCCAUGCCGUAAACGAUGAAUGCUAGGUGUUGGAAGGGUUUCCGCCCUUCAGUGCCGCAGCUAACGCAUUAAGCAUUCCGCCUGGGGGAGUACGACCGCAAGGUUGAAACUCAAAGGAAUUGACGGGGGCCCGCACAAGCGGUGGAGCAUGGUGGUUUAAUUCGAAGCAACGCGAAGAACCUUACCAGGUCUUGACAUCUUUUGAUCACCUGAGAAGAUCAGGUUUCCCCUUCGGGGGCAAAAUGACAGGUGGGGGCAAGGGUUGUCCUCAGCUCCUGUCGUGAGAAGUUUGGGGUUAAUUCCCCCCACCAAGCGCACCCCUUAUUAAUAGUUGCCAGCAUUUAGUUGGGCACCCUAC